rnacentral:rRNA from 1 species
GACGAACCGUGCGAACGUUAUUCGGAAUCACUGGGCUUAAAGCGCGUGUAGGCGGGAGGGCACGUCCGUCGCUGAAAUCCCCCGGCUCAACCGGGGAACGGGCACGGAUACGACCUUCCUGGAGGGGCGUAGGGGGACCUGGAACUUCCGGUGGAGCGGUGAAAUGCGUUGAGAUCGGAAGGAACGCCCGUGGCGAAAGCGAGGUCCUGGACGCCUACUGACGCUGAGACGCGAAAGCCAGGGGGA